GAUCAUGGCUCAGGACGAACGCUGGCGGCGUGCUUAACACAUGCAAGUCGAACGAUGACGACCGAGCUUGCUCGGUCUGAUUAGUGGCGAACGGGUGAGUAACACGUGAGCAACCUGCCCUUCACUCUGGGAUAACCUCGGGAAAUCUGGGCUAAUACCGGAUAUGAGUUCCUGUCGCAUGGCGGGUGCUGGAAAGUUUUUUCGGUGAAGGAUGGGCUCGCGGCCUAUCAGUUUGUUGG
rnacentral:rRNA from 1 species